rnacentral:rRNA from 1 species
GACGAACGCUGGCGGCGUGCCUAAUACAUGCAAGUAGAACGCACAGUUUAUACCGUAGCUUGCUACACCAUAAACUGUGAGUUGCGAACGGGUGAGUAACGCGUAGGUAACCUGCCUGGUAGCGGGGGAUAACUAUUGGAAACGAUAGCUAAUACCGCAUAAUAUUGAUUAUUGCAUGAUAAUUGAUUGAAAGAUGCUAUUGCAUCACUACCAGAUGGACCUGCUUUGUAUUAGCUAGUAGGUGAGGUAACGGCUAACCUAGGCGACGAUACAUAGCCGACCUGAGAGGGUGAUCGGCCACACUGGGACUGAGACACGGCCCAGACUCCUACGGGAGGCAGCAGUAGGGAAUCUUCGGCAAUGGACGAAAGUCUGACCGAGCAACGCCGCGUGAGUGAAGAAGGUUUUCGGAUCGUAAAGCUCUGUUGUAAGAGAAGAACGGGUGUGAGAGUGGAAAGUUCACACUGUGACGGUAGCUUACCAGAAAGGGACGGCUAACUACGUG